rnacentral:rRNA from 1 species
UGAACCAGCCAAGUAGCGUGCAGGAUGACGGCCCUAUGGGUUGUAAACUGCUUUUAUAAGGGAAUAAAGUGAGUCUCGUGAGACUUUUUGCAUGUACCUUAUGAAUAAGGACCGGCUAAUUCCGUGCCAGCAGCCGCGGUAAUACGGAAGGUCCGGGCGUUAUCCGGAUUUAUUGGGUUUAAAGGGAGCGUAGGCCGGAGAUUAAGCGUGUUGUGAAAUGUAGACGCUCAACGUCUGCACUGCAGCGCGAACUGGUUUCCUUGAGUACGCACAAAGUGGGCGGAAUUCGUGGUGUAGCGGUGAAAUGCUUAGAUAUCACGAAGAACUCCGAUUGCGAAGGCAGCUCACUGGAGCGCAACUGACGCUGAAGCUCGAAAGUGCGGGUAUCGAACAGGAUUAGAUACCCUGGUAGUCCGCACGGUAAACGAUGGAUGCCCGCUGUUGGUCUGAAUAGGUCAGCGGCCAAGCGAAAGCAUUAAGCAUCCCACCUGGGGAGUACGCCGGCAACGGUGAAACUCAAAGGAAUUGACGGGGGCCCGCACAAGCGGAGGAACAUGUGGUUUAAUUCGAUGAUACGCGAGGAACCUUACCCGGGCUUGAAUUGCAGAGGAAGGAUUUGGAGACAAUGACGCCCUUCGGGGCCUCUGUGAAGGUGCUGCAUGGUUGUCGUCAGCUCGUGCCGUGAGGUGUCGGCUUAAGUGCCAUAACGAGCGCAACCCCUCUCCUUAGUUGCCAUCAGGUCAAGCUGGGCACUCUGGGGACACUGCCACCGUAAGGUGUGAGGAAGGUGGGGAUGACGUCAAAUCAGCACGGCCCUUACGUCCGGGGCUACACACGUGUUACAAUGGCAGGUACAGAGAGAUGGUCCAAUGCAAAUUGGAUCAAAUCCUUAAAGCCUGUCUCAGUUCGGACUGGGGUCUGCAACCCGACCCCACGAAGCUGGAUUCGCUAGUAAUCGCGCAUCAGCCAUGGCGCGGUGAAUACGUUCCCGGGCCUUGUACACACCGCCCGUCAAGCCAUGAAAGCCGGGGGCGCCUAAAGUCCGUGACCGUAAGGAGCGGCCUAGGGCGAAACUGGUAAUUGGGGCUAAGUCGUAACAAGGUAGCCGUACCGGAAGGUGCGGCUG